rnacentral:rRNA from 1 species
UGGGGAAUAUUGCACAAUGGGCGCAAGCCUGAUGCAGCAACGCCGCGUGAACGAUGAAGGUCUUCGGAUCGUAAAGUUCUGUUGCCGGGGAAGAUAAUGACGGUACCCUGUGAGGAAGCCCCGGCUAACUACGUGCCAGCAGCCGCGGUAAUACGUAGGGGGCUAGCGUUAUCCGGAUUUACUGGGCGUAAAGGGUGCGUAGGUGGUCUUUCAAGUCGGUGGUUAAAGGCUACGGCUCAACCGUAGUUAGCCUCCGAAACUGGAAGACUUGAGUGCAGGAGAGGAAAGUGGAAUUCCCAGUGUAGCGGUGAAAUGCGUAGAUAUUAGGAGGAACACCAGUAGCGAAGGCGGCUUUCUGGACUGCAACUGACACUGAGGCACGAAAGCGUGGGUAGCAAACAGG